GAUGAAGAACGUAGCGAAAUGCGAUAAGUAAUGUGAAUUGCAGAAUUCAGUGAAUCAUCGAAUCUUUGAACGCACAUUGCGCCCCCUGGUAUUCCGGGGGGCAUGCCUGUUCGAGCGUCAUUACAACCCUCAAGCUCUGCUCGGUAUUGGGCCCCGCCAGUUCUGGCGGGCCCUAAAGUCAGUGGCGGUGCCUUCCGGCUCCGAGCGUAGUAAUUCUUCUCGCUCUGGAGACCCGGUUGUGUGCUUGCCAACAACCCCCAAUUUUUUAAGGUUGACCUCGGAUCAGGUAGGGAUACCCGCUGAACUUAAGCAUAUCAAUAAGCGGAGGA
rnacentral:misc_RNA from 1 species